AAGUAGUGCCCGUACCGCAAACCGACACAGGUAGAUGAGGAGAGAAUCCUAAGGCCAUCGGAAGAAUUGCAGUUAAGGAACUAGGCAAAUUGACCCCGUAAGUUCGCGAGAAGGGGUGCCUGUGAGAGCAGGCCGCAGAGAAUAGGCCCAAGCAACUGUUUAGCAAAAACACAGGUCUCUGCUAAAGCGUAAGCUGAUGUAUAGGGGCUGACGCCUGCCCGGUGCUGGAAGGUUAAGGGGAACACUUAGCGCAAGCGAAGGUGUGAACUUAAGCCCCAGUAAACGGCGGCCGUAACUAUAACGGUCCUAAGGUAGCGAAAUUCCUUGUCAGGUAAGUUCUGACCCGCACGAAUGGCGUAAUGACUUGGGCACUGUCUCAACUGCAAAUCCGGCGAAGUUGUAGUGCGAGUGAAGAUGCUCGCUACCCGCGAUUGGACGGAAAGACCCCGUAGAGCUUUACUGUAGCUUAGCAUUGAGUUUCGAUAUUGUCUGUACAGGAUAGGUGGGAGACUGAGAAGCUAGGGCGUCAGCCUUAGUGGAGUCAACCUUGGGAUACCACCCUGACAGUAUUGGGAUUCUAACCGGACGCCAUGAAUCUGGUGACGGGACAUUGUUAGGUGGGCAGUUUGACUGGGGCGGUCGCCUCCUAAAAAGUAACGGAGGCGCCCAAAGGUUCCCUCAGAACGGUCGGAAAUCGUUCGAAGAGUGCAAAGGCAGAAGGGAGCCUGACUGCGACACCCACAAGUGGAGCAGGGACGAAAGUCGGGCUUAGUGAUCCGGUGGUACCUCGUGGGAGGGCCAUCGCUCAACGGAUAAAAGCUACCUCGGGGAUAACAGGCUGAUCUCCCCCAAGAGUCCACAUCGACGGGGAGGUUUGGCACCUCGAUGUCGGCUCGUCGCAUCCUGGGGCUGUAGUAGGUCCCAAGGGUUGGGCUGUUCGCCCAUUAAAGCGGCACGCGAGCUGGGUUCAGAACGUCGUGAGACAGUUCGGUCCCUAUCCGUCGCGGGCGUAGGAAAUUUGAGAGGAGCUGUCCUUAGUACGAGAGGACCGGGAUGGACUGACCUCUGGUGCACCAGUUGUUCCGCCAGGAGCAUAGCUGGGUAGCUAAGUCGGGAAGGGAUAAACGCUGAAAGCAUCUAAGCGUGAAGCCCCCCUCAAGAUGAGAUUUCCCAUAGC
rnacentral:rRNA from 1 species